UGCAGUUGACAUUCGAGUAUUUCUUUUCAGUCUCGAUGGGUUUCAACAGUGAACUUGAAAAUCCCUCAACAUGAAAAUAAAAAUUUCCCUUUACAAGACUGGAAAGUAAAAAAUGUUUAAAUAAAGAAGGAACAUUUAACAGCGAUGGCAAAGUAAAGGAUAUUUGUCUCUUUUUUUUCCGACCGUAUCCUCCGGAAGGUGCUCUGUGGUUUCCUCUCGAACAUUUAUCCUCCUCGACCCAAUAAAAAGGACUUACGGCAGAGCAAAAACACCACUAGGCACUCGUGCAAGCUCAAGUACAUAAUAUCUCACGAUGAAACUGAUCGUUGUGAUUCUAUCCAUCGCGGUUUUUGUUUCAUCCCAGCGUGCGGGGGAUAAUGGAGAGGACUUGAUCCGCAUCCUCGGAAGACCUUCCAAUGUACGUGACAUAAUUGACAAUCCUGAGCUAGCCGAUGGUGCAUUAGGUAGGCAACGGCGUGCACCAAUGAGGCUCCCCCCUAGGACCUGGGGUAGUCCCGGGUCCGGUAUAUACUCUCCAUUUGUGCCAAGGCCAUUCUGGGGUAUCCGCUCAAUCCGAUGAAGAUUAUUCCCUAUCAAUAUGUGAGAAGAUAUUAAUUUGUUCUGUCAAUACUAUCCAAUAAAAUGAAAACAAUUCAAUAAGAAAA